UGUUUUUUUAGUUUUCAGGGAUGGCAUUU
rnacentral:piRNA from 1 species